rnacentral:rRNA from 1 species
AGCAGCCGCGGUAAUUCCAGCUCCAAUAGCGUAUAUUAAAGUUGUUGCAGUUAAAAAGCUCGUAGUUGAAUUUCGGGAUUGACGUGAUGGUCAUGCCUUAAGGGGUAUGAACUGUUACAGUUGAUUUCUCACCUUCUGGAGAAACUUGAUGUCCUUUAUUGGGUGUCUUGCGGAUCCAGGACCUUUACCUUGAAAAAAUUGAGUGUUUAAAGCAGGCAUUUUUGCUCGAAUCAUUAGCAUGGAAUAAUAGAAUAGGACGGCAUGGUUCUAUUUUGUGGUUUCUAGGAUCACCGUAAUGAUUAAUAGGGAUAGUUGGGGGCAUUAGUAUUCAAUUGUCAGAGGUUGAAAUUCUUGGAUUUAUUGAAGACUAACUACUGCGAAAGCAUUUGCCAAGGA